AUGCACGCUGGCGGCGUGCCUCAUCCCUGCCAGUCGAGCGAACAGACGAGGAGCUUGCUCCUCUGACGUUAGCGGCGGACGGGUGAGUAACACGUGGAUAACCUACCUAUAAGACUGGGAUAACUUCGGGAAACCGGAGCUAAUCCCGGUUAAUUUAUUAAACCGCAUGGUUAAAUAGUAAAAUCGGGUUUUGCUGUCAUUUUUAGUUGGAUCCGCGCCGCAUUAGCUAGUUGGUAAGGUAACGGCUUACCAAGGCAACGAUGCGUAGCCGACCUGAGAGGGUGAUCGGCCACACUGGAACUGAGACACGGUCCAGACUCCUACGGGAGGCAGCAGUAGGGAAUCUUCCGCAAUGGGCGAAAGCCUGACGGAGCAACGCCGCGUGAGUGAUGAAGGUCUUCGGAUCGUAAAACUCUGUUAUUAGGGAAGAACAAAUGUGUAAGUAACUAUGCACGUCUUGACGGUACCUAAUCAGAAAGCCACGGCUAACUACGUG
rnacentral:rRNA from 1 species